rnacentral:rRNA from 1 species
AUUGCCCCAGUAACGGCGAAGUGAAGCGGCAACAGCUUCAAAUUUGAAAUCUGGUCCCCCCGCGGGGCCCGAGUUGUAAUUUGAAGAGGAUGCUUCUGGCAAGGUGCCGUCCGAGUUCCCUGGAACGGGACGCCGCAGAGGGUGAGAGCCCCGUACGGUCGGACGCCGAGCCUCUGUGAAGCUCCUUCGACGAGUCGAGUAGUUUGGGAAUGCUGCUCAAAAUGGGAGGUAAACCCCUUCUAAAGCUAAAUACCGGCCAGAGACCGAUAGCGCACAAGUAGAGUGAUCGAAAGAUGAAAAGCACUUUGAAAAGAGAGUUAAAAAGCACGUGAAAUUGUUGAAAGGGAAGCGCUUGCGACCAGACUCGCGCCCGUCGGAUCAGCCGUCGCUCGUCGGCGGCGCACUCCGGCGGGCUCGGGCCAGCAUCAGUUCGCCUCGGGGGGAGAAAGGCGGCGGGAAUGUGGCUCCACGGAGUGUUAUAGCCCACCGCGUAAUACCCCCGGGCGGACUGAGGACCGCGCGUAUGCAAGGAUGCUGGCGUAAUGGUCGUCAGCGACCCGUCUUGAAACACGGACCAAGGAGUCGUCCUAAUAUGCGAGUGUACGGGUGUCAAACCCCUGCGCGUAAUGAAAGUGAACGGAGGUGAGAGCUUCGGCGCAUCAUCGACCGAUCCUGAUGUUCUCGGAUGGAUUUGAGUAAGAGCAUAUUGGGCCGGACCCGAAAGAAGGUGAACUAUGCCUGUGUAGGGUAAAGCCAGAGGAAACUCUGGUGGAGGCUCGCAGCGGUUCUGACGUGCAAAUCGAUCGUCAAACAUGGGCAUGGGGGGCGAAAGACUAAUCGAACCUUUCUAGUAGCUGGUUUCCGCCGAAGUC